UAUGUGAUCGUCUCUCGCAUAUCAAUAAGCGGAGGAAAAGAAACUAACAAGGAUUCCCCUAGUAACGGCGAGUGAAGCGGGAAGAGCUCAAAUUUGAAAUCUUAAAGGGUUUCCCUUUACGAAUUGUAGUUUAAAGAAGUGUUUUCUGUUGAGGUUUUGGUAAAAGUUCUUUGGAAUAGGACAUCAUAGAGGGUGAGAAUCCCGUAUUUGACCUUUACUUUCAACUUUGUGAUACACUUUCAAAGAGUCGGAUUGUUUGGGAAUGCAGUCCAAAAUGGGUGGUAAAUCUCAUCUAAAGCUAAAUAUUGGCGAGAGACCGAUAGCGAACAAGUACCGUGAGGGAAGAUGAAAAGAACUUUGAAAAGAGAGUUAAACAGUACGUGAAAUUGUCAAAAGGGAAGCGUUUGACACCAGUGUUGUUUUUCUGAAAAUCAAUUAAAGAACUGUUUAUGCUAAGUUGUUUAGACUUUAUCAGCUAACUGUUUAGUUUUGAGCUUUUCUUUAAUGCACUUUUCAGUUAACAAGUCAACAUCAAUUUCUUUUGCUGUAAAAAAGCUUGAGGAAGGUGGCUUGAGAUUCGUCUUAAGUGUUUAUAGCCUCUUGCCUAUGCAGUCGGAGAGAUUGAGGUCUGCAGCGUAGAUCCUUCGGGGCUAAAUGCAUUUGUGCUAAGUUAUAGCAUUUUAUAGACAACUUGUUGACUAUGAUUUGUCUUGUAGCUUACUCGCUUAUGUUAUUUUACCUACGCUUAGGAUGUUGACUGAUAUGUAGUCGUA
rnacentral:rRNA from 1 species